rnacentral:misc_RNA from 1 species
GAUGAAGAACGUAGCGAAAUGCGAUACUUGGUGUGAAUUGCAGAAUCCCGUGAACCAUCGAGUCUUUGAACGCAAGUUGCGCCCGAAGCCAUUAGGCCGAGGGCACGCCUGCCUGGGCGUCACACGUCGUUGCCCCCCCCAUCUACUCCUUCGGGAUUGCGGGGGGCGGAUGAUGGCCUCCCGUGCGCCUCGCCGCGCGGUUGGCAUAAAUGCCAAGUCCUCGGCGACGCACGCCACGACAAUCGGUGGUUGCGAAACCUCGGUUGCCCGUCGUGUGCGGUCGUCGCGCAUCGAGGGCUCGAAAAAAUUGCCGAGUUCCGGCUCGGCUUUCAACGCGACCCCAGGUCAGGCGGGGUUACCCGCUGAAUUUAAGCAUAUCAAUAAGCGGAGAA